CUGUGCUAUUUUAAUUAUAGAAUACAAAUAAUUAUGGGAUAAUAAAGUGAUUAGCCUAAAUUAACUAAACAUCAUGCCAAUGAUCCGGAAGCUUCUAUUAAAACUGUGUACAAGGGGAAAAGCCGGCGAACAGUAGGCCUACAUGUCACCGAGAAGUGGGGCAGUAGGCAAAAGCUUGGAACGCAAUCACAAGAACUUGCAGAAGUUCAGAUUGAGAAUGAGAAACCAGAAACAAACUUAAUUGCUAACUGUACUACAAAUAGCAGUUCAGUAUCAGACGUAGAUACUUCGGUUACAUUUGAUGAACUGUACAGGUGUUGUGAUUGCUGUUCAUGGGAGACUACGUGCCUCACAUGCUUGCGGUUGAGGCAUAAACAUCCUCAUCUGCAUUUGGAAGAACAUGGCUUACCUUUCUUUCAUUGAUGAUGAUGAGGCUUGGAAAUUGAAUGACCAUUCCUGUAGCACUAUUUACCUGAAAAAACUCGUGG